GUCCAUGCCGUAAACGAUGAUUACUAGGUGUUGGGGGAUUGACCCCCUCAGUGCCGCAGUUAACACAAUAAGUAAUCCACCUGGGGAGUACUACCGCAAGGUUGAAACUCAAAGGAAUUGACGGGGGCCCGCACAAGCAGUGGAGUAUGUGGUUUAAUUCGAAGCAACGCGAAGAACCUUACCAGGUCUUGACAUCCGAUGCAUAGCACAGAGAUGUGUGAAAUCCUUCGGGACAUCGAGACAGGUGGUGCAUGGUUGUCGU
rnacentral:rRNA from 1 species